GAACAGGGGUGCUUCGAAAGAGGCUGAGAAUAACCCUUAUCACCUGAUCUAGUUAAUGCUAGCGUAGGGAGUU
rnacentral:ncRNA from 1 species